rnacentral:rRNA from 1 species
ACGUUACCAAACUGUUGCCUCGGCGGGAUCUUCUGCCCCGGGUGCGUCGCAGCCCCGGACCAAGGCGCCCGCCGGAGGAAUCAACCAAAACUCUUAUUGUAUACCCCCUCGCGGGUUUUUUUUAUAAUCUGAGCCUUCUCGGCGCCUCUCGUAGGCGUUUCGAAAAUGAAUCAAAACUUUCAACAACGGAUCUCUUGGUUCUGGCAUCGAUGAAGAACGCAGCGAAAUGCGAUAAGUAAUGUGAAUUGCAGAAUUCAGUGAAUCAUCGAAUCUUUGAACGCACAUUGCGCCCGCCAGUAUUCUGGCGGGCAUGCCUGUCCGAGCGUCAUUUCAACCCUCGAACCCCUCCGGGGGGUCGGCGUUGGGGAUCGGCCUUCCUUCACGGGGGCCGUCUCCGAAAUACAGUGGCGGUCUCGCCGCAGCCUCUCCUGCGCAGUAGUUUGCACACUCGCAUCGGGAGCGCGGCGCGUCCACAGCCGUUAAACACCCAACUUCUGAAAUGUUGACCUCGGAUCAGGUAGGAAUACCCGCUGAACUUAAGCAUAUCAAUA